rnacentral:lncRNA from 1 species
GGUUUGGGAUGAUUAGCUUGAAAUUACAUUAACUAGAUUACAAGUUCUGGAUUUACAAACGUACUUGCUUCAAAAAUCAUUAAAAGAAGCAUCAUACGGUCGAUUAUAAGCAAUCCUAGGUUCUAAAUUACGUUACAGCCAAGCCAAACGAAAGGAAUAAACUUCAAGAUAAAACUACAUAUCACUUUGCCAUGACACUUGCCCAGGCAUUUCCCUGCAUUUGCCUCUCCAGACCAUUACAAAGUUACACCAAGAAACCGCAGGGUACCCUCUAGCAUCAUGCCAUGACCUGCAAAUCCAAGAACCAGCAGCGUCAUACCGUCAACAUGAACAAGAGUACACGUGCACCAAGAUAAAUACAAAUUAAUACAUGAGUCAUUUCUAUUACUCUAAAUAUUAUCACCAUCAAUUAUGAGUGUAGAAUCUGCAACCAAAGUGGCAUUUGUCAAGCCAUAAUCUGCUGCAGACCCAAUCCAAACAUGUGUAACACACAUGACCUAACUUUAUUGCCAGGGUAAAUACAACCUUGCCAAUCACUUUGAAAAUGUAAUGCAUAAGCCAUGUUGAACCAUCAGCGGAACACCAAUUAGAGCAAGCUGCAAAUAGUCCAUACUUGUUAAAAAACCAUAAGCAAAGCAAUCAACAUAGUAUGAGUAGAGUACAAACACAUGAAGAGCAAGUCACUUUUUUCUAGGGAUUUUGUGCACGAACUCAUAUGGUUUGAGUUAUUAAUUUAAACUCACAUUAACUGAACAAUGAGGUUUAGAUCCAAACGUAAUUGCUUCAAAGGCCAUUAAUGAAAGAAGCUCACACAGUUGGUGAUAACAAUUCUAAGACCUAAAUUAUGGCACAAUCUAAACAAAAUGAAAGAGAGUAAACCUCAUCUCCAAGUCGCCCUAAAAGGAUACCUCGUUUGGAUGUCAUCUACGUUCGAUUCUCAGGAUACACCAAAGUGUUUCAAACCUGCAAAUUGAAAUCAGAGAACAAUCAACAGUUCCUAGUGGAUUUCGUAAAACAACACUAUUGGCACAAACCAAAUCAAAUCAUUUAUAUUUCAAAACCCCACAUUAGUAAAAAAAACAGAAAACCACAAAGCUAGUCUUUUGAGUCGAGGAAAAUACAAAUUACAUGCCAUUUAAAGCUCAAUUUUCAUGACAGUAAAAAUGGAAAUUCUUACCACAACGAGUAUAUGUUUUACUGUUGUAAAGGUUCAAUAGAUCUUACAACAAAAUGACGCGUCUUACCACCUUCAUUGUUUAGGGGACCAUACCAAAAUCUGGAGAUGAUUUUAUUCUAACAGAAUGAUCCGUUGUAUUUGGCCAGCUCACAAAUUUUGUACACAAUUCCAAAAUAACAUAUUUCCUCUAUAAAUAAGUAGGUUCCAAUCAUUGAGAAGGAUAUAUCGUUACCCUGCCGAAAUCCCACCUCAACCUGUAC